AUUGAACGCUGGCGGCAGGCCUAACACAUGCAAGUCGAGCGGAUGAAGGGAGCUUGCUCCUGGAUUCAGCGGCGGACGGGUGAGUAAUGCCUAGGAAUCUGCCUGGUAGUGGGGGAUAACGUCCGGAAACGGGCGCUAAUUCCGCAUACGUCCUGAGGGAGAAAGUGGGGGAUCUUCGGACCUCACGCUAUCAGAUGAGCCUAGGUCGGAUUAGCUAGUUGGUGGGGUAAAGGCCUACCAAGGCGACGAUCCGUAACUGGUCUGAGAGGAUGAUCAGUCACACUGGAACUGAGACACGGUCCAGACUCCUACGGGAGGCAGCAGUGGGGAAUAUUGGACGAUGGGCGAAAGCCUGAUCCAGCCAUGCCGCGUGUGUGAAGAAGGUCUUCGGAUUGUAAAGCACUUUAAGUUGGGAGGAAGGGCAGUAAGUUAAUACCUUGCUGUUUUGACGUUACCAACAGAAUAAGCACCGGCUAACUUCGUG
rnacentral:rRNA from 1 species